rnacentral:rRNA from 1 species
UACGGAGGGAGCUAGCGUUAUUCGGAAUUACUGGGCGUAAAGCGCACGUAGGCGGCUUUGUAAGUAAGAGGUGAAAGCCCAGAGCUCAACUCUGGAAUUGCCUUUUAGACUGCAUCGCUUGAAUCAUGGAGAGGUCAGUGGAAUUCCGAGUGUAGAGGUGAAAUUCGUAGAUAUUCGGAAGAACACCAGUGGCGAAGGCGGCUGACUGGACAUGUAUUGACGCUGAGGUGCGAAAGCGUGGGGAGCGAACGGG